UCCAGACUCCUACGGGAGGCAGCAGUGAGGAAUAUUGGUCAAUGGGCGAGAGCCUGAACCAGCCAAGUCGCGUGAGGGAAGACGGUCCUACGGAUUGUAAACCUCUUUUGCCGGGGAGCAACGGGGUCCUUGCGAGGGCCCGAUGAGAGUACCCGGAGAAAAAGCAUCGGCUAACUCCGUGCCAGCAGCCGCGGUAAUACGGAGGAUGCGAGCGUUAUCCGGAUUUAUUGGGUUUAAAGGGUGCGUAGGCGGGCUGUUAAGUCAGCGGUAAAAUGUCGGGGCUCAACCCCGGCCUGCCGUUGAAACUGCAUCCCUUGAGUGCGCGAGAAGUAUGCGGAAUGCGUGGUGUAGCGGUGAAAUGCAUAGAUAUCACGCAGAACUCCGAUUGCGAAGGCAGCAUACCGGCGCGCAACUGACGCUCAUGCACGAAAGCGUGGGUAUCGAACAGGAUUAGAUACCCGGGUA
rnacentral:rRNA from 1 species